GAUGAAGAACGCAGCGAAAUGCGAUAAGUAGUGUGAAUUGCAGAAUUCAGUGAAUCAUCGAAUCUUUGAACGCACAUUGCGCCCCUCGGUAUUCCGUGGGGCAUGCCUGUUCGAGCGUCAUUUACCCCUCAAGCACUGCUUGGUGUUGGGCGUCUGUCCCGCUUCGCGCGCGGACUCGCCCCAAAGGUAUUGGCAGCGGUCGUGCCAGCUUCUCGCGCAGCACAUUGCGCUUCUCGAGGCGGUCGAUCGGCGUCCACGAAGCUCACCUCCACCGUUUGACCUCGCAUCAGGUAGGGAUACCCGCUGAACUUAAGCAUAUCAAUAAGCGGAGGA
rnacentral:misc_RNA from 1 species